CUAAUGAGAAAAAUACAAAAAACAAAUGAGAAAAAUAUAAAUAUGGAAUCAUUGGAUAUGCGGCGGAAAAAAGAAUAGAGAGAAAAAAACUGCCCACAAUUAGCCUGAUCUCCAGAGGAAAGAACAACUGCACGCACGAUCAGAGGAGAUUGAAGACGACGUGGGAGGUGAUAACAGUAGAUAUGGCAUCAUCACUAUUCAGCCCUCUCUCAAUUUACAGUAUUUUGUUGGAAACUCAACCAGAUUCUUGGAAAUCUGCAUCGAUGCCAUGCUUCAGUUUGAAUUACUUUUUUUUUUUUGUGAAUUUUUUGCAUUCCAGAAUUCCAGAUUAUUGUUGUCCUAGAUUAUUGCGAUUGCAGUGGUCUUUUGGCUUGAGAUAUUUGUACACCCAAUUGAAAGAUUUCACAAUUGGAUACUUGAAUUCAUUGGACAGUACUAAAAAAUUGUCCGAGUUGGAUCAACAAAAUAAAGAUCAAGAAGACAAGUUUCUCAACUAUAUCCAAGUGGGAAGGAAUUAUGGAGACCACAUACCUUCAAGAAGAAAUCGAUGAAGUCCGUGAUGAGUGGGCAGAAUUCGUUAGUGAUAAGUAACUUUAGACUUGAGACUUUUGCAAUGUGGAAUUGUGGAUCUUUAGUUCUAUGCUUUAACUAUGUACCUAUAGUGAAGCUUCUUUAAUUUGUAGCAAAACUACCUUUUCCAUUAUAUGACAGCUAGUAUAUAUUAGUUUCUUUUACUUUUGCAAAGUUCACUCAAGAAAUUUCAAUUGCGAAAGCAUUGUAAAUGUGAUUAUUUGAAGUAAUUCUCUAUUAAUAUAUAGCAAUUUCAUUUCAA